UACGAAGGGGGCUAGCGUUGUUCGGAUUUACUGGGCGUAAAGCGCACGUAGGCGGAUUGUUAAGUGAGAGGUGAAAUCCCGGAGCUCAACUCCGGAACUGCCUUUCAUACUGGCAAUCUAGAGUCCGGAAGAGGUGAGUGGAACUCCUAGUGUAGAGGUGGAAUUCGUAGAUAUUAGGAAGAACACCAGUGGCGAAGGCGGCUCACUGGUCCGGUACUGACGCUGAGGUGCGAAAGCGUGGGAGCAAACAGGG
rnacentral:rRNA from 1 species